rnacentral:tRNA from 1 species
GCGGGUGUCGCCAAGUGGUAAGGCCCGAGCUUCCCAAGCUCGUAUCCGCGGGUUCGAGUCCCGUCACCCGCUCCA